UCUCUGUGCUCUGCGUUGUUGGAAUGACUGCAACAGCGCCACCUAUAGUCGGAAGUAUCAAACUUGUCUGACAUUUCAAGACAAGUUUUAUUACCCUGGCCUAGACUGGGCUGUAGAUGAAGAGUGGUGUAUGUUGUACAGAGAUGAAUCUUCGUUACAGUACGGCGACUGGAGGCUGGUCUUCAAGGCACACAGCGGAACUAAUUCUUCCUUUUACGACUUAUGGGAAAAAGAUGGUCAUCAUGACGACGGGCCGCUGUCCAGUGACCUGGCCAUGGGAUGUUAUGAUGGGACAAGAAAGAAACGUGCACACGUCAUUUUAGGAGCUCAGUUCUGGACAACUGGACCAACAUUGACAAAGUUAGAUUCUCGUUGAUCGCCAACGUUUCAGAAGUCGUCUCCAUAGUCUUCAAUGGAACAUCCACCACCAGACAGUCUUGGUAUGACAGGAGGCUAAUUUUAGAAUCAAGCUGGAGUCUGUUGAAAAAUGAUAGCCAAGCAGUGAACUUUAAUUUCCAAGGAUACACAUCAGAAAACGAUUCCCGUCGCCUGAUUAUAUUUGCAACCUAUAGUGGAUGUAACAACGACAGAAUGUACUUCUCUGCCUUUGACUCCGCCUAUGAAUCCUGCGGCACCACCUGGAUGCCCAUCCCCUCCUACCCUCUGUUUAUUUACUCACCUCAGAACCAGAUGGUGAAAGUGAGCACCAAACCACCAGAAUUCUCGGUAGCUGACAUUUUGUCGGUAUUUGUCCUGCAGAAGCAGCCAUGAAGGUCUACGUUAUAGUUUGCUAAAUAAUGACAAGAAACGAAGACUUCUAUGGGUGGAGUCUGCAUAAAAUGUAUAUCCGACGAUAAAACAAAGAACCUAUUAAUUUUGUUUAAAGCUCAAUAGAAUGGUUUUCAUUAUAUGGUGACUAGUCUGCAGGAAUGUACUAUGA